GUGGGGAAUAUUGGACAAUGGGCGCAAGCCUGAUCCAGCCAUGCCGCGUGGGUGAUGAAGGCCCUAGGGUUGUAAAGCCCUUUCGGCGGGGAAGAUAAUGACGGUACCCGCAGAAGAAGCCCCGGCUAACUUCGUGCCAGCAGCCGCGGUAAUACGAAGGGGGCUAGCGUUGCUCGGAAUCACUGGGCGUAAAGCGCACGUAGGCGGCUUGUUAAGUCAGGGGUGAAAUCCUGGAGCUCAACUCCAGAACUGCCUUUGAUACUGGCAAGCUUGAGUUCGGGAGAGGUGAGUGGACCUGCGAGUGUAGAGGUGAAAUUCGUAGAUAUUCGCAAGAACACCAGUGGCGAAGGCGGCUCACUGGCCCGAUACUGACGCUGAGGUGCGAAAGCGUGGGGAGCAAACAGGAUUAGAAACCCCUGUAGUCC
rnacentral:rRNA from 1 species